ensembl:snoRNA SNORA70 Small nucleolar RNA SNORA70
UUGCGGCUAAUUAAACCCAUUGAGGUCCUUUCAUUAUCAGGCUUGAUAUGCAAUGGCUGCAAGCAGAAACCACCUAGGUAACACAGGCAGCCUGUUGCUUGCACAGGUUGCUCUAAAAGAUCUUGGACACAGCC